GGAGCAACAAGACUAAAAAAGAGGACAACAGUGCCUGCCUUAUAUGACUAAAGCAUACACCAUUUGAUAAUACAAAAUCAAAAGGCCACAACUAAGAAGACUAAGCCAUAGAAGAUCCCAAUGUAAUAGGGGAAACAUCUAAAAAGGGAAGGAAAAAAAACUCACAAGCAUCUCCAAAUCAAGGAACAGCCAACCAAGGAAGCUCUCUAAUGAAAGAAUCCAAGAACCUGACCCCCAACAUUCCUUUUCAUUGCCUCUUCAUGAUCCAAGAUGCCUUCUGGAGUAGUAAUCACAACAUAACCCCACUGACGUGUUGGAAGUGUUCGUAAUCUGUAAGCUUCAAUAUCCUUUGCCU
rnacentral:misc_RNA from 1 species